UACAGAGGGUGCAAGCGUUGUUCGGAAUUAUUGGGCGUAAAGCGCGUGUAGGCGGCUUUGCAAGUCGGGUGUGAAAGCCCUCAGCUCAACUGAGGAAGUGCGCCCGAAACUGCAGAGCUUGAGUACCGGAGAGGAUAGCGGAAUUCCCCAAGUAGAGGUGAAAUUCGUAGAUAUGGGGAGGAACACCGGUGGCGAAGGCGGCCAUCUGGACGGAUACUGAACGCUGAGACGCGAAAAGCGUGGGGUAGCAAAACAGGGA
rnacentral:rRNA from 1 species